rnacentral:rRNA from 1 species
UACGGGGGGAGCAAGCGUUGUUCGGAUUUACUGGGCGUAAAGGGCGCGUAGGCGGUCGUGACAAGUCACUUGUGAAAUCUCCGGGCUUAACUCGGAACGGUCAAGUGAUACUGUCGGACUAGAGUACAGAAGGGGCAACUGGAAUUCUCGGUGUAGCGGUGAAAUGCGUAGAUAUCGGGAAGAACACCAAAGGCGAAAGCACUCUGCUGGGCCGAAACUGACACUGAUAGACGAAAGCUAGGGGAGCAAAUGGG